UCCGCCUGCCCGGGGUGCUCGGCCUGCCCCGGGUGCUCCGCCUGCCCAGGGUGCUCCACCUGACCCAGAUAGGAGUCCUAAACAGACGCCUGAAGAACUGGCCUUUUAUGCUCCGAAUUAUUUAUGUUUGACUCUCUUGGCUAUAGUUUUUUGCCCUCCCUUGGGACUCAUAAGUGUCUACUUCUGCUAUAAGACUUCAGUUGCCAACUGGAACAGCAACUGGGAAGAAGCUUAUACCAACUCAGGCCGAACUGGCUGUGUGGAUGUAUUCGCCAUACUCAUUGGUUUGGGCCUCCUUUACGGAUAUAUCCUAUUUUACUGAAGGCCAAGAACAGAGUGCCAGGGUUUUACAACCCAACAAACCCACCCACUAAGACACUGACCAGCCACCAUGCAAGAAACUCAACAGCUGAUUCAUCCCCUAGCCAAGAAACUUGCCACCAACCAAGGAACACAACAUCCAAGCAACCCAGCACCCUAGGAACAACUAGGCCCCUGCCUGUACCACAUCAGCUCACCUGGCCUCCAGAGGAAUCUUCAUUCACCUUGGGAUCCACACAUCAGCACCUGACAUCCUCUUAUUUCCUUAACACUGGGCUGCUCUCUCAGAAAAAAAAUUAAACCAAUAAAACUGAAAAGAAUGU